UUUGGUCGAUUGAUUCCUCCCAAAUUUUAAUUGCCGUUGGAAAAAGCAUCACAUUCAUUGACCGCCUCUCGUCUCUUCUGAGUCGCCUCGAAUUCUCCGGCUGCGACGACGCCGCCGAUGCCGGCUGCUCAUCGUGGCUUCAGGCGCCGCCGACGUGGAAGCAAUCUCCGUGUUUAUUUAAUCGAUGAGGCGGAAUUCACGUCACCAUCGACCUCCUCACUGACUCGCCGUCUGAUUUCGUUGACACCGAUUCUCGCCGAUCGGUGAGAGGCGCUCCAGGAUCCACUGGGCAGUCGCUGCCGUCGGAGUCUCACUUCGGUCGGUGUCAUACUCCAGCCAUCUCGGCUGCAUCGUCACUGUCAAUUUCGUCGGACUGCUGUGGACUUCGCGGCUUAGGGCAAGUGGUGGAUAUGACUUUAGCCCUGGUGCUAGUUAUGGUGGAGCAGGAUGGGGAAUUAACGGAGCCAGAGCAGGUUAUAGUGGCAGUUGUCGAUACCAUCCUUAUUCAAGAUAGAUUUCUUUUAAGCAUCUUGAAGGAGUUCUCACAUUUCUCUUGGCUAUUGCUUCUCGCCACUCGGAGUUGACUAGAUUUUCAAUGUACUAGCAAGGAGAUGAUCUGUAGAAGACUGGAGAACCUUAGUAUUUUGUUGUUUCUUAUUCGCUGAAUUCUAAGUUUUAAGAAUCUCAUUGAGACACUGUUAAGCUUUCUAAUCUAGACAUCUUAUCCUCUAUGAAAUGUAUUUUGUUCUAUUUUUAGUUAGAAUGGCCUUUUGCCUUUUUAGGUUCUACCUGCUAGAAGCUAAUGUUUAUCUAGAAUUGAGUAUACAUGCUCAAGUGAUCUGUGAGAUGAUGCCUCACCAGACAUAGCGCCUCUAGCUGUUUUUGAAUCUGUGAUUUGUGUCCAAGCUUUCUUGUGUGUUCUUUGGAAGUUCUGGCUGGAUGUAUUAAAGCCUCUAGUUCAGAGGGAAGCUUUAACAGCAAUCUUUCUACUCCCUCAUGGAGAGUUUGUAUCUGGCUGGUGCUCGUCAAACGUCUUACGAUGAGGAUGCACCAUUAGAAUGAGAAGGAUCUGUUUCUCAACAUGUUCAUUCGGUUCAUAGAGGACUAUUAGAAACUGUCAGAUGACAAAGUGUCCACAGUUAGCAAGAACUUAUGUUCACUGUUAAGUCAUGCAGAGUCUUUAGUUCCAGGAUUUUUGAAUGAAGAUGAUGUACAACUGCCUAGGUUAUUUGUAAGUCAGUUUGAGUGCCGAAUCGUUCGUGCUGCAUCGGAAAAUCAUUUAGUCCAUGAGCUUGGGAAGAGGUUGACUGCAGGAGCAACUAGCUUCCUAUAUUGGACUCCCGGCCCUGAUGAAAAAAAGAGGAAUAAGCUUCAUAAAAAGGAAUUUUAAUGCCAGAAAAGGAAGGUAGGAAGGUUUGCUGAACUUGCAUCUAAAAAAGAAAUCAUGGGCCAUGGAAGCUGGUUGAGCACUCAAUUGAGUCUAUAACAAAUGUUCUUGCAUUGCUGAAAAAAUGUUUGGUAUAGAUUCAAGAGAGUUAAAUGCUCCCACCGAGGCAAGUUACCCGAAGGGACUGGAACAUAAUACAAAGCGCUUGGCAGAUGUCGUCUCAGAUGCUUCAAAUUUUCGGUCAUUCAUUAUGAUAAACUUUAGGGAAGCUUUAGCAGCAAUCUUUAUACUUGUAUCUGGCUGGUGAUCGUCUAACGUUCUAGUUUGUGAAGAGGAUGCACCAUUAGAUGUACCUCGUUCAUCUUAUGCUCAUCAGAAAACGUCUUUGUUGAUUAAAGUGAUUGCAAACCUUCAUUGCUUUGUUCUUGAUGUAUACCAGGAUGAGAAAGAUCUGUUUCUCAACAUGUUCAUUCGGUUAAUAGAGAAGGACUAUCAGAAACUGUCAGCAUUUUGGUGUGCGAGAAGGAAAGACUUUGUGUUUGAGGCAGAUUACAGAGCAAUCAUACUGCGUUUGAGGCUACUGAGAUAAUUCAGCCAUAUUCUAGUGUUACUCGUAGUUGAUUUGAAGGCCUCUCUAAGCAUUUAGAUUCAUUCUUGCAAAUGUUAUCUCUUGUGCUGCUAAGUUGUUUUCUGUGAUUGUUCCUAGUGCAUAAAUAGACUAGAUAGUACUUAGUCGAUCUGAAGGUCGAGGGUAGUAGGGGCCGACUGAGUUCUUAACUUAAAAGAAGCGUGGGGAAGGGUCGAAAAAUGAAGGCACAAGUCUAUUUAUUGAUUUUUGAGCUUGCUUUGCUUGAUCUUCUGUUUCUUGGUUGGUGUGCUUAUAUUUUUCUACUUAUUUAAUUCAUUCUUUGCUGCAUUUUGCAGCUUUAUAAUUAAUCUGUAAUAUAUAUAUAUAUAUAUACAUAUAUAAUAUUAUAUUUUUGUGUGU